AUCCAACUUGCAGCAGAUAAAAGUUUUUUUCUUUUUUAAUUUUCUUAUCUUCCGACUUGAUUUGAGAUAUAAGCUGAUUGCAUCUAGAAAAAAUGAGGUCGUUACUUCUUGCUCUGAUUGUAUUCUCUACAUUGGUACUGCUCGCUCAGGCCAACUCUUUACCGUGGAAAAUAUUUUGGCGAAGAGAUCCGCCCUGCACCGUGUGGUGGCCGUGUGCUGAAGGUGAGGUGUGGGAGUGCUGCCCUAAUCAAUAUGAAUAUCCAUUUUUCGGUAAAUAAAUGGUCCUCCCGAGCUUUAUUCGCCUAAUAAAUUACACUUAAUACAUCA